CCUACGGGAGGCAGCAGUAAGGAAUAUUGGACAAUGCUCGCAAGAGUGAUCCAGCCAUGCCGCGUGCAGGAAGAAUGCCCUAUGGGUAGUAAACUGCUUUUGAACUAGAGAAAAUCCCAGUACGUGUACUGGGCUGAUAGUAUAGUUAGAAUAAGCAUCGGCUAACUUCGUGCCAGCAGCCGCGGUAAGACGAAGGAUGCAAGCGUUAUCCGGAUUCAUUGGGUUUAAAGGGAGCGUAGGUGGACUGAUAAGUCAGUGGUGAAAUCUCCGAGCUUAACUCGGAAAUUGCCAUUGAUACUGUUGGUCUUGAGUACAGUUGCUGUGGGCGGAAUAUGACAUGUAGUGGUGAAAUACAUAGAGAUGUCAUAGAACACCGAUUGCGAAGGCAGCUCACAAAGCUGUAACUGACACUGAGGCUCGAAAGUGCGGGGAUCAAACAGGAUUAGAUACCCUGGUAGUCCGCACCGUAAACGAUGAUUACUCGCUGCUAGGGGGCAACCUUUAGUGGCUUAGCGAAAGCGAUAAGUAAUCCACCUGGGAGUACGCCGGCAACGGUGAAACGUUAAAGGAAUGACGGCGNGAGAGNGCGAGACGACGACGAGGGAGAGG
rnacentral:rRNA from 1 species